rnacentral:rRNA from 1 species
UAAUACGGAGGGUGCAAGCGUUAUCCGGAUUUACUGGGUUUAAAGGGUGCGUAGGUGGGUUGGUAAGUCAGUGGUGAAAUACUUUCGCUUAACGAAGGAACUGCCAUUGAUACUACCAGUCUUGAAUACAGUGGAGGUAGGCGGAAUGCGUCAUGUAGCGGUGAAAUGCUUAGAUAUGACGCAGAACACCAAUUGCGAAGGCAGCUUGCUACACUGUUAUUGACACUGAGGCACGAAAGCGUGGGGAUCAAACAGGAUUAGAUACCCUGGUAGUCCACGCCCUAAACGAUGGAUACUCGACAUACGCGAUACACAGUGUGUGUCUGAGCGAAAGCAUUAAGUAUCCCACCUGGGAAGUACGACCGCAAGGUUG